rnacentral:lncRNA from 1 species
GCCUUCAGUAACCAUGGAUUCAUUCUUACUUUCUUUGAAUUGUGUCCAAGGAGAGAGAGAGAGAGAGAGAGAGAGAGAGAGAGAGAGAGAGAGAGAGAGAGAGAGAGAGAGAGAUUUUCUUUGUUUGGGCUUCAUACUGUUUUAGGUUCAUUCUGGCUUCUGACCAGUUCCUGUAGCCAGGAAAUUGACCCACAUGAAUUGACUUGACCUUAAUCAUGUUUGUUUUAUAGCUAGGGAUGCACUACCAAAAAGAAAUUGAGGUUAUUUCACCUAAAAAUGUGUAAGCAAACGAGGGUGGCAAAACCUAAAGUUUCUUUAUUUAGUACUCAACAAACAUUGACUGAGUGCCUACUAUGGACUAAACACAGUUCAGAGUGCACCAGAUUCAACAGUGAACAGAACAUAAAAAUUCCAGCCCACUGUAAUUUAUAUUCUAGUAGAAUGAAUCCUGUCCUAAAAUUAAAAAAAGGGGGGUAUCCUUUCUUCUCACAGGGUAUUUGACAGUGCAAAGUAGCACCACAGUGAUUAUUUCCAUGGGAUGUCUCCGAUGUUUGAGCUGUGUGGCAGGCUAAAUAACAGCACCCCCUCCUCCAUAUGUCCAUGUCCUCGUCCCUGGAACCUGUGGAUCUUACUGUCUAUGGCAAAGGGUCUUUGUGGUGUAACUGAGUGUAAAAUCUUGCAACGGGGAGAUGAUCUUGGGUUAUCUGAAUGGGUCCAAUAAAAUCAGAGUGGUCCUUACAAGAGUGAUUCGGGAAGAGUCAAAGCCAGAGGAGAAGGUGUGCUGGUGGGUGCAGUGGGAGAGACGGGAAGGUCUGACAAUGCUUCACUGCCAGUUUGAACAUGGAGCCAAGGCCCUGAGCCAAGGCAGGUGGGAAGCCCCUAGGGCAGGAAAAGGCAAGGGGCCAGUCAGACUAACACCUCCAUAGCAGCCCAAUGACACUGACUCAAG